UUUUUUUUCUUUUUGGGACUGCACCUGUGGCAUGUGGAGGUUCCCAAUUGGAGUUGUUUUAGCUGUUGGCCUAUGCCACAGCCACAGCUACACGGGAUCUGAGCUGCGUCUGCGACCCAAACCACAGCUUAUCAAAACGCUGGAUCCUUAACCCAAUGAACAAGUCCAGGGAUCGAACCCGCAUCCUCGUGGAUGCUACCGUUCAAAUUAAGAGGGAAGUUAUGGUAUGCAACACUGUAUAAAAUAUUUUCAUAUUCAUUGUUAUUUAAGGUUCACAACAAUUCUAUUGGGUCAAUUUUUUGUAGCUGUGCAAAUGAGAUUCAGAGGGGUUAGAUCAAAUUUAAAGAUACUACUUAUAUAGUGUGCUGUGGUGAGACUUUAAACUAGGGCUUCAGAUAGAGUUAAAAAUGAUUCCAUAAUCCACUGUGUCAUGUCGCUAGAAAAAUAACCCAUGUUUAUGUGUAUAUCUUCAAAGUUUGAAUAACAGAAUUAAAAGAUAAUAAAAUAUUUUUCUAUUAUUAUCUGUCUUAAAAUUUCUAAGUGCUAAAAGGCAAAAGGAGGCACAAAAGCUAUUGCCAGAGGAUAAUUUCUAGAAAGCUUAUGAUUAAGUUGUCAUGAAAAUUAUAAGCAAUUGUAGAGGAAAAAAACACAGAUGGCUUCAAUGAUUCGAAAUUUACAAUGAGAAAAAGCACACGAAAAAGUAUCCAGAUUCCCAAAAUAGGCACCAGAUUCAAGCAUGUCCCAUGGUAAUAGGUCUGAGUUUAAGCAUGGUCUGAGUUUAAGAGAAGAGUUUUAACAACUUCUUGAACAAAUCGAUUUUUAUCUUCCCAAAGACUUAGUAGCACCUGGCUAGAAGGAUGAAGCACCUACCUUAGAACCACUGGUUCUGGACUGUAUCAGGUUUCAGCCCAGAGAAUAAAUAAGAAAAACUCCAAGACUAGGGGUGGUUCAUAAAGAAAGCUGUUGAAUUAUUUCCCAUCUGCAAAUUUUGUUUUGAUCUAAAUUUAUAAAACUUAGCUAAUAUGGCUUAACUCUUUUUUAUUUUCAAACAAGAAGCUGUUAUAUAAUGUAGAUUUCAAUAAUAAAUUCUUCAGAUACAAUGUAAGGAAGGGUGAUUUAAUAGACUGCAGUUUGAUCCUAGAGAUAGUCGUAUGUAGGCUUCCAUCCUAGCUCUGCUAUUCAGUAGAUAAAUGGCCUUAGACAAAUCUUUAGCAUCCCUCAUCUCUAUAAAGACACUAACAUUAUGGAUUAAAAAUGAACAUGAAACAUAAUUAGUGCUCAAUAUAAGAUCAUAAUGGUAAUGAAGAAGACAGAUAAACACUUGUAUUGCUUUGGUCUAAAUAAAUAAUUUGGAGAAGAUCUCUUUCUUGAAACAACUAGAGUGAGGUUGUUUGGCAUCAGAAUGCAAACAACAUAAUAACUUAGAAAUGAUUAUAGAUCUUUUCUUAAUCAGCUAUGGAAAAGUUCUUCAUCCAGAAAGUAAUUAACAGUAAAUAAGGGGACAAGAUGGAUGAAAGGACCAAGAGUUUAAGUAAAAACAAGUAUGGCAACUCAGACAGAAUAAGGAAGCAUCUGGGGACAUAAAGCUGUAGUCGACUCCGACUCCUCCUGGGUUGCCCCCAAGUUUUGAGUUAAUUUUUACUUGCUCAGAUCUCAAUGCCUGAGGUUUUAGCAAACCUAACCUAGAAAUGGGGAGAAUCAAUAUUAAAUGUUGUUAAGUCAUAUUAGUAACAAUAUUAAUAUCAUUAAUAUUAAAUGUUAUUAAAUCAAUUAAGUACUUUUAAUUGAGGACAAAGUUUUAGAUUUCAUUUAAAAAUAUUUGUAUCAAACACCAUAAAAAUAAAGAAAAACAUUUAUUUAUAGAUAAAGCACAAGUAGCCUUUUUUAAAAAAAUGAAACAACACAAACAUUUUUUCCAAGAAUCACUAGUGCCAUAUAUACCACACAAAAUUUCUCCUACAAAAUGCGAAGCUAAGGGAGUAUGGAAGUCUGGAAAAAGACCAUAUAUUAAAUACAUUCUGUAGAACAAUUUCUCAUUUUCAGAUGCCAAUCAUAAACAACAAAAAACUCAAAGCAUUAAGUAAAAUUAAGAUAGCAGUAAAUUUAGCACAUAAGAAAGCGUGAGAGAAAAUUAUAAUAAUUUGAGUGUAUAAAUAAAUGAUAUAAUAGCAACUUAAUAAUUGUAUAGCAUGGGCCCGAAAAUACAAACAGAAUUAUGUGUCUACCUAGGAAAUGUUUUGUUUGGUGGAAUGAGAUAAAGAGAAAUUAGAGUCCAUAAUACCUGUGCAUCUACCCUGAAUGCAACUACAUGACAGUGUUAAGAGUCAUUGCCACACACAUAAAAACAUACAAUUACACAAAACUUUCCAAAUGUUAUGAAAUUGUAACAUUUAGUAUUAAUUUAAUACAGAUAUUUUUUAUACACAAAAAGUGUAACUGCAUUUAAUGAAGCCAUCUUCCUGUUAUAUGGACUGUACUGAUUGUAUUUUACAAAUUUGGAAACAAAUAUAAUGCAAUAUGGAGAAAAAGUAUGAAGAAGUUAUGUUACCCAAAGUGAGGUCUUCACAAAGUGUACUGCAAAAAGUAUACACUGAAAUCAAAUAUAUCUUGGAAAUUCAUCGUAUUACAUAGUCCCAUCCUGGACUUCACAAUGCAUUUGGCAUAUUAAAGUUUCUAUGGAGUCCUUCAGUAAAGAUACCUAUUUAUCGUUGUUUAAUCCAGUGCAUUGUGUUAUUCCCUAUUAACAUUUAGAGAAGGUACAGUAUGCAGUGGUAAAUGCUGAUCUAAACUCUAAAAACUCUCUGAGGGUAUUUAUAUUAGGUCUUAGAUAUUUUAGAUUUUUUUCUUAUUAAAACAUGACAGAACUAAUGUUCCCUCACAACCAUAUUGUCAUGCAGAUAAAAACAACUUAUGUUUUUAAAACCUCACAAUGCAUUUCAUCUAGCAAUGCAUCAGCAUCAAAGUACCAACAGCUACUCCAAAUCUGAAAUCAGAAAUCCUCAUGCCAAGGUUAAAUCUCUGAUAGGCACUAUCAUUCACACCUCAUCAGUAAGCAAAUCCUCCAUUAUUUUUCUAUGAACAUUGAAGUAUCUGUAUCUUUCCUCUGGCCUUCCCCAGUCUUCUCUUAUACUGCGGUUCUCAUGCUACCUCAAGUACCAGAAAUAGCUCAUCUAUCCCCAAACUUCCAACAACACUAGCCUCCAAUUUAUAAAAAUGCUACAGUUCCUAAAGUUUUUCUGAGGGAAUAAAUUUAUGAACACAGACACAAAAGGGACAUUCUCGUCCUCUUCCUCCUUCUGGGUGUCAUUUAUCUUCAGCCAUUAUUCAAACACACUUGCUCUAAGAAAGACUUAAUACAUUCCUUCAUUUCUGCAGCACUUAGGGUGACCUAGAUAAUCAUGGACAUUUGCCAGAACUGUCAUCCUCAUGUGAAUGGAUUCAUAAUAUUAAGGGGUAGGUGCUGCUUGCCUUCCUUAAAACUGAGACUAUAUAUCAGGUAUGGAAAUACACAAAAUUAGGGCGUGCUCUACCAUGAUUAUAUAGGUAGAAUACUGUAUAGCACAGAGAAUUCUACUCAGUGUUCUGGGGUAAUCUACAUGGGAAAAAUAUCUGAGAGAGAAUGAAUAUGUGUAUAUGUAUGACUGAAUCACUUGGUUGUACAGCAGAAAUUAUCACAACCUUGUAAAUCAACUAUACUUCAAUAAAUUAUAAAAAAACAGUAGAAUAUGAUGCAUUUAAUGUUUUGUUUGGGGCAAUAAAAAUAGCUAGCAUUUAUUGGUCAUCUCAUUCCUUGUGGUCCUAUUACCCCCAUUUUACAAAUGGGAAUAAGGAGUCUGGAAGAUUGAGCAUGUAGUCCAAGCUAAACAAAUUAUAGGCAUUGGAGACAGACCUCCCUGGAAGCCAUGAUUAAUUGUACUAUGUCACCCUUUCCUCCAUGCCCAGGAAUACUAACUGGACUCGGAUGAUUUAGGUAGGUCAAGCAGAGUCCUUCCCUCUGAAAUUCUGCUGGGGGAGAGACUCCUGUCUCAGUAUUCACCAAUCUUUCAAUACGUGAUUUGUGUGGCAACUACUUUUUUCCUUAUGGAGAAAGACAAGUGGAAGAGAAAAGAAUCAAGUAAAUACAAUAAGAAAUGAUGAAGGCUUCUGUUUUUAACCCUUGCAACUUUUUAGUGUCUGUUCUUGUGUUGCAAGGUAAAUCUGUACAUUUCAAAAUAAAUCCCCUCAUCGAUUUAUUUUUGGCUUAUUCAUUUUGACAUCACUUUCUAUUACAUGCAAGCAAAUAGUUCCUAACUAAUAUUCAAAGCAGCCUGACUCUUCACCUUAUUAUGGGCCUUCCUUUUAGGUUUCCUUCCCCGCCUCUUAU
rnacentral:lncRNA from 1 species